AACGAACGCUGGCGGCAUGCCUAACACAUGCAAGUCGAACGAGACCUUCGGGUCUAGUGGCGCACGGGUGCGUAACGCGUGGGAACCUGCCCUUAGGUUCGGAAUAACUCCCCGAAAGGGGUGCUAAUACCGGAUAAUGUCUUCGGACCAAAGAUUUAUCGCCUUUGGAUGGGCCCGCGUUGGAUUAGCUAGUUGGUAGGGUAAAAGCCUACCAAGGCGACGAUCCAUAGCUGGUCUGAGAGGAUGAUCAGCCACACUGGGACUGAGACACGGCCCAGACUCCUACGGGAGGCAGCAGUGGGGAAUAUUGGACAAUGGGCGAAAGCAUGAUCCAGCAAUGACGCGUGAGUGCUGAAGGCCUUAGGGUUGUAAAGCUCUUUUACCCGGGAUGAUAAUGACAGUACCGGGAGAAUAAGCUCCGGCUAACUCCGUG
rnacentral:rRNA from 1 species